CCUACGGGAGGCAGCAGUAGGGAAUAUUGCGCAAUGGGGGAAACCCUGAAGCAGCAACGCCGCGUGGAGGAUGAAGGUUUUCGGAUCGUAAACUCCUGUUGUCAGAGAAGAUAAUGACGGUAUCUAACGAAUAAGCACUUGCUAACGCCGUGCCAGCAGCCGCGGUAAUACGGAGGGUGCAAGCGUUACUCGGAAUCACUGGGCGUAAAGAGCGCGUAGGCGGGAUAGCAAGUCAGAUGUGAAAUCCUAUGGCUUAACCAUGGAACUGCAUUUGAAACUGUUAAUCUGGAGUAUGGGAGAGGUAGGUGGAAUUCUUGGUGUAGGGGUAAAAUCCGUAGAGAUCAAGAGGAAUACUCAUUGCGAAGGCGACCUGCUAGAACAUAACUGACGCUGAUGCGCGAAAGCGUGGGGAGCAAACAGGAUUAGAUACCCCUGUAGUC
rnacentral:rRNA from 1 species